UACAGAGGGUGCAAGCGUUAAUCGGAAUUACUGGGCGUAAAGCGCGCGUAGGCGGCUGAUUAAGUCGGGUGUGAAAGCCCCGGGCUCAACCUGGGAAUUGCAUCCGAUACUGAUUGGCUAGAGUAUGAGAGAGGGAGGUAGAAUUCCACGUGUAGCGGUGAAAUGCGUAGAUAUGUGGAGGAAUACCGGUGGCGAAGGCGGCCUCCUGGCUUAAUACUGACGCUGAGGUGCGAAAGCGUGGGUAGCAAACGGG
rnacentral:rRNA from 1 species